rnacentral:rRNA from 1 species
GAUGAACGCUGGCGGCGUGCCUAAUACAUGCAAGUCGAGCGAACAGACGAGGAGCUUGCUCCUCUGACGUUAGCGGCGGACGGGUGAGUAACACGUGGAUAACCUACCUAUAAGACUGGGAUAACUUCGGGAAACCGGAGCUAAUACCGGAUAAUAUAUUGAACCGCAUGGUUCAAUAGUGAAAGACGGUUUUGCUGUCACUUAUAGAUGGAUCCGCGCCGCAUUAGCUAGUUGGUAAGGUAACGGCUUACCAAGGCAACGAUGCGUAGCCGACCUGAGAGCGAGAUCGGCCACACUGGAACUGAGACACGGUCCAGACUCCUACGGGAGGCAGCAGUAGGGAAUCUUCCGCAAUGGGCGAAAGCUUGACGGAGCAACGCCGCGUGAGUGAUGAAGGUCUUCGGAUCGUAAAACUCUGUUAUUAGGGAAGAACAAAUGUGUAAGUAACUAUGCACGUCUUGACGGUACCUAAUCAGAAAGCCACGGCUAACUACGUG